rnacentral:rRNA from 1 species
AGUGGCGUAAGGGUUAGUAAUGGAUAGGUAACGUACCCUUUGCUUCGGAAUAGCGUCGUUCGCCUUCGGGCGAACUUCCGAAAGGGGCGGUAAUACCGGAUAAUAUCACUUGUUGACAGACAUGUGAGCAAAGAUUUAUCGGCAAUGGAGCGGCCUAUCUCCUAUCAGCUUGUUGGUGAGGUAAUGGCUCACCAAGGCUUCGACGGGUAGCGGGACUGAGAGGUUGACCCGCAACAUCGGGACUGAGACACUGCCCGGACCUCCACGGAGGGCUGCAGUAACGAAUAUUGCGCAAUGGGCGAAAGCCUGACGCAGCGACGCCGCGUGCGGGAGGAAGUCCCUCGGGAUGUAAACCGCUGUCAGGGGUAAGAAAGUUCACUUCGGUGGAUUGAUCUAACCCACAGGAAGUCACGGCUAACUUCGUGCCAGCAGCCGCGGUAAGACGAAGGUGGCUAGCGUUGUUCGGUGUUACUGGGCUUAAAGCGUGUGUAGGCGGAAUGGUAAGCGUCUUGUGAAAUACCUCGGCUUAACCGAGGAAUUGCUGGGCGAACUACUUUUCUUGAGGCAAGUAGGGGUGCAUGGAACUCUUGGUGGAGCGGUGGAAUGCGUAGAUAUCAAGAGGAACGCCAAUGGAGAAAUCAGUGCACUGGGCUUGGCCUGACGCUGAGACACGAAAGCGUGGGGAGCGAACGGGAUUAGAUACCCCGGUAGUCCACGCCGUAAACGAUGUCUACUAGG